rnacentral:ncRNA from 1 species
GUGUUGUAUGAAAGGAGAGGAGGUAAGUACUCCCCUUGACGAGGAUAGAAGAGGCUCUUGGGCCUGAUAACAUGAUAUGGUUAAGGCAUUGCCAACUACUUCAAGGCAUCUAACCAUUGUUUUUU